CCUACGGGAGGCAGCAGUGAGGAAUAUUGGUCAAUGGUCGGGAGACUGAACCAGCCAAGCCGCGUGAGGGAUGAAGGUACAGAGUAUCGUAAACCUCUUUUGUCAGGGAACAAAGGCGGGGACGUGUCCCCGGAUGAGUGUACCUGAAGAAAAAGCAUCGGCUAACUCCGUGCCAGCAGCCGCGGUAAUACGGAGGAUGCGAGCGUUAUCCGGAUUUAUUGGGUUUAAAGGGUGCGCAGGCGGUCUGUUAAGUCAGCGGUCAAAGCCCGGGGCUCAACCCCGGCCCGCCGUUGAAACUGUCGGACUAGAGACGGCGAGAGGUACGCGGAAUGCGCGGUGUAGCGGUGAAAUGCAUAGAUAUCGCGCAGAACUCCGAUUGCGAAGGCAGCGUACCGGCGCCGGACUGACGCUGAGGCACGAAAGCGUGGGUAUCGAACAGGAUUAGAUACCCGAGUAGUC
rnacentral:rRNA from 1 species